GAUAUGUAGGUGAAGUCCCUCGCGGAUGGAGCUGAAAUCAGUCGAAGAUACCAGCUGGCUGCAACUGUUUAUUAAAAACACAGCACUGUGCAAACACGAAAGUGGACGUAUACGGUGUGACGCCUGCCCGGUGCCGGAAGGUUAAUUGAUGGGGUUAGCGCAAGCGAAGCUCUUGAUCGAAGCCCCGGUAAACGGCGGCCGUAACUAUAACGGUCCUAAGGUAGCGAAAUUCCUUGUCGGGUAAGUUCCGACCUGCACGAAUGGCGUAAUGAUGGCCAGGCUGUCUCCACCCGAGACUCAGUGAAAUUGAACUCGCUGUGAAGAUGCAGUGUACCCGCGGCAAGACGGAAAGACCCCGUGAACCUUUACUAUAGCUUGACACUGAACAUUGAGCCUUGAUGUGUAGGAUAGGUGGGAGGCUUUGAAGUGUGGACGCCAGUCUGCAUGGAGCCGACCUUGAAAUACCACCCUUUAAUGUUUGAUGUUCUAACGUUGACCCGUAAUCCGGGUUGCGGACAGUGUCUGGUGGGUAGUUUGACUGGGGCGGUCUCCUCCUAAAGAGUAACGGAGGAGCACGAAGGUUGGCUAAUCCUGGUCGGACAUCAGGAGGUUAGUGCAAUGGCAUAAGCCAGCUUGACUGCGAGCGUGACGGCGCGAGCAGGUGCGAAAGCAGGUCAUAGUGAUCCGGUGGUUCUGAAUGGAAGGGCCAUCGCUCAACGGAUAAAAGGUACUCCGGGGAUAACAGGCUGAUACCGCCCAAGAGUUCAUAUCGACGGCGGUGUUUGGCACCUCGAUGUCGGCUCAUCACAUCCUGGGGCUGAAGUAGGUCCCAAGGGUAUGGCUGUUCGCCAUUUAAAGUGGUACGCGAGCUGGGUUUAGAACGUCGUGAGACAGUUCGGUCCCUAUCUGCCGUGGGCGCUGGAGAAUUGAGGGGGGCUGCUCCUAGUACGAGAGGACCGGAGUGGACGCAUCACUGGUGUUCGGGUUGUCAUGCCAAUGGCACUGCCCGGUAGCUAAAUGCGGAAGAGAUAAGUGCUGAAAGCAUCUAAGCACGAAACUUGCCCCGAGAUGAGUUCUCCCUGACNAACUUGCCCCGAGAUGAGUUCUCCCUGACUCCUUGAGAGUCCUGAAGGAACGUUGAAGACGACGACGUUGAUAGGCCGGGUGUGUAAGCGCAGCGAUGCGUUGAGCUAACCGGUACUAAUGAACCGUGAGGCUUAACCUU
rnacentral:rRNA from 1 species